GAUGAACGCUGGCGGCGUGCCUAACACAUGCAAGUCGAGCGGACAGACGAUGAGCUUGUGCCUUUGACGUUAGCGGCGGGCGGGCGAGUAACACGUGGAUCACCUACUUAUAUUUCUGGGAUAAUUACGGAAAUCCGGAUCUAAUACCGGAUCAUAUAUUGAACCGUGGGGGGCAUUAGAUAAUGUCGGCUUUGCGGGUUCGAAUAGAUGCUUUCGGGCUGGAUUAGCUAGUUGGUAGGGUAACGGCUUACCAAGGCGACGAGGCGUAGCCGACGUGAGAGGAUGAUCGGCGACACUGGAACUGAGACACGGUCAAGACUACUACGGGAGGCAGCAGUGGGGAAUCUUCGGCAAUGGGCGAAAGCUUGACGCAGCAAUGCCGCGUGUGUGAUGAAGGCCUUCGGUUCGUAAAGACCUGUUAUUGGGAAAGAACAGCUGUGGAAUUAGACAAGGCGGUCUUGACGGUAACUAAUCAAUAAGCACCGGCUAACUACGUG
rnacentral:rRNA from 1 species